UUGGAACCUUAAUUCCGUUGCGGUGAUACUUGGCGAAUCCCAACCGAAGCGUGAAAGAGGCCUGGUUGAUUGGGAGGAAAAGCGAGGAAGAUCAGCCGGCUGGAUUUAAGGAGCUGAUUGGAGAUGGCGGGGAGCUUCGAGUUGACCUCAGGGAAUGCCAUCCAGCCAGGCUGCUCCACGAGAGAUGCCCACGGUUUCAUGAACAUGUAGCAAAUGAUUGUAGUUGGAAAUAUCAGAAUGCUGCAUCCAGGCAUGUCCAACAGAAACUAAUCCCCUGCUGAGAUAUCGCUGGGCCUUCAAAAGUUGAGAAGAGAAAGGAAGAAAGUCAUGAAAGGAGGAGGAAGAAUAUUCAAACUGCCUCCCCCCCACACACACUUCAAGGAGCAGAAUUGCAGAGGAGGGGAAAUGAGUACACCAAAGGCGUUUGUUUUUUUCCCCAUUUAUGGAGAUGGGACUGUAAAUCAGAAGCGACUGGCAUCCGUCGCUCUCCCUCACGCUGCAAAAGUGAUCUGGACUCCUCCUGAAAAGUGCCUUUAGCUGCCUCCUGUCCCCAGCAAAGGGACUCUUCUGCAAGCUGAUCUCAUGGAACCUAGAAUAAUGGGUUUAGAAGGGACCUUGGAGGUCUUCUAGUCCAACCCCCUGCUCAAGCAGGAGACCCUCUAUCAGAGGUCCCCAACCUUUUGGGCACCAGGGACCAGUUCUAUGGAGAAAG